ACCCUAAAACUAAAGUAUCAGACUUCUGGAGCCGCCGACCAAACACCCAUCUCACUUUCUCUCCCACUCAUGAUCUCAUCCUUCCGAGCUCUAUGAGUCUCUGGUGUAUCGGCAAGGUGACGGUCCGGUCGAGCUCUCAUCCUCCAUUCUAUAAGCGAGGAGGUUCUCCAGCAGGUUGCAUUCCCUUUCUUCGUGGUAAAUCAAUUUUCUCAUCCUCUUCAUCUCCCACUACUUAAGAAGGUAAUCCCGUUAUUAAUUUUAUACUUUAAGAUAGUUAUCAAUUUAUCAUUGAUGGUGGUAACUGGUAAGUCAGUUGAAAUUUCUAGCGAGUUCUAGUCCAUGGUUGAUUUUUUACUUGAUUUAUUCAGGUCGCCUUAGUAGUUGAAAGGGUCGUGAACACAUGAAUUGCUAGAUUGACAUAAUCUCCAGGUUUCUUCAAAGUAACUCUCAUGUCAAGUACCAGUUUGCCUUUGACAAGGAUCUUUGUUAAUUUGGUUGAUACUUGAUAGGGACAGGGAUAACAUUUGAUUUGGAUAUUUGGGUUACAAAUUUACAAUGAAAUUUAAUUUAAUGAUUCAUAAAUUCAUAUU